rnacentral:rRNA from 1 species
AUGCAAGUCGAGCGAACAGAUAAGGAGCUUGCUCCUUUGACGUUAGCGGCGGACGGGUGAGUAACACGUGGGUAACCUACCUAUAAGACUGGAAUAACUCCGGGAAACCGGGGCUAAUGCCGGAUAACAUUUAGAACCGCAUGGUUCUAAAGUGAAAGAUGGUUUUGCUAUCACUUAUAGAUGGACCCGCGCCGUAUUAGCUAGUUGGUAAGGUAACGGCUUACCAAGGCAACGAUACGUAGCCGACCUGAGAGGGUGAUCGGCCACACUGGAACUGAGACACGGUCCAGACUCCUACGGGAGGCAGCAGUAGGGAAUCUUCCGCAAUGGGCGAAAGCCUGACGGAGCAACGCCGCGUGAGUGAUGAAGGUCUUCGGAUCGUAAAACUCUGUUAUUAGGGAAGAACAAAUGUGUAAGUAACUAUGCACGUCUUGACGGUACCUAAUCAGAA